CGCAGGACUGCAAUUACGCUGGUAAGUAGUAGUGAUUCGAUAUUUAUGUACAUAUUUAUCUCGGUUCUACUCCCCGUUAUUACUGUUGUCUAAAAUAUCGUAAGUGCAGGCUACCUGUUGGGUAAUCUCCACGCCCUCCUGCUCAGGCUUCUCUCCCAUGGGGUUACUAUUAUUUAUCUGAACUUUGUGUAGCCUGCUAGUGCUUGAAUUGGCUUUGUUAUGAAUUGUCUUGUAGCUUGCAGUUUGUCAUACAAAUGGAGGAGACUUGCAGGGUGCUUACGAAUCAUGCAGAACAAGGGCCAGCUACUGAAAAGAGUUUUUCUACAGGUUUUCUCACUGAAACUGAAUUCCCAGUUUAUCGCUUCAAUAUGCACUACGUUUAUGUAAUUUUGUCCUCGGAUGAGGCAAGAAUGGAUCCAGUCUCAUCUGCCACGAAGAGUCCUUCAGAAUGAGAUGCGGAGAAAGGUCACUUGCGCCACUCUCACUGCACCGCCGAAUUUUAUGGCAAGUCGAGUCCUUUCCUUCCAGUUAUGCGGCUGUCAUAAUGAACGCCACUUUGCCAGUGCUUAAGUGUUUUCAGUAAGCAAAGUUGCAAAGCAAAGUUCAGUAAAGUCAGUUGUGACUUGGAUAGGUGAGCAUGCGGAUCUGGCUAGUUCUAGCCGAGGGUAUUAUAGCUGUUGGCAUUUCAGUAUGGUGAACCCCUUGGCUCGGCCUCACAUAUGCAGUGCUGUUCCGUGAAACGUAGCCAGUACUCAACGUGUUCUUUGUGUGGAUUAUGGCCGUCGCACAAGAGGAAGAUUUUGAAGUAGCCUGUGUGUAUGUUUUAUAUGAAAUCAGGUUAAAACUUGGGCAGGUUGGUGUGACAUACUAAAAGCGUAUGUUUCCUGGGCGCUGAGGAGCGCGACGUUGCGGGCAACGAGCACGAGCUGUGCAAUGACUGCGACGAGCUUUAUGUGUGGUCUCAUCUUGCAUCUGACCCAAUAUGCCAUUAAGCGAAACAGAAAACUUCGUGCCACUAUUAUGUUUGAAGUGGACACUGCGACAAAA